rnacentral:lncRNA from 1 species
CCAAGUGCUCACCAUCACUUGUGUCCUUUGGUCAUCUCUUUGUUGUUUUCUUCCCUUUUAUCUGCAGUGCGAGCCAUCCAACUGCCUGCAUGCCAAAGUCAGUGUUGGAUUUGGUUGUGAAGAAAAAGAGGAGCAAAUGUUAUUGUGUAGUUGUGGAUGCACGAGGCUGUGGUCGACUGGUCGGUCGCCCGGCCCUUCCAACCAACCAACAUCGCCGUUACGUUCCAGAAUUUGUUUGUUU